AGACACACUCAUACACACACUCACACAGACACACACUCAUACACACACGCACACCGACAUGCUCACACAUCCAUGCACACACACAGACACAAGCUCACAUACACUCAUACACUAACACAUGCAUGCACACACACACGCACAUGCAGACACGCUCACACUGCACUCACACACACACAGACACACACACACACACACACACACACACACACUCCCCUACACCUCAGACAUACUCGAAACUCAAACAGCACUGAGUCUCCCCGUGCCAAUUCUCGCCUGCUCUCUUCGACUUUGGUCAGAGAAGGUGAGCAGACCCGGCAGCAGCCUGUCCCGGGGCUCAGGAAGAGGCAGGCCCAUCCCCUGGCCCCCAAACCCCCAGCACAGCAGAGGGUGGCAGGCAGUGAGGGCCUGGUGUUACCUGGGCCCCACUUCUCAGCCCCAGCUACUGGGCCUCCAAGGUUGGGGUGGGGAUGGAGUUUUGGCUCUGGGUUUGCCCUGACUCCUGCUGGAAGACGCUGCCCUGGUUUUUCACCCUCUAGUGGCCUUGGACAUUGCGUAUUUGUAGAAAUGCAGAUUACAUUGCAAAUGGAAACCUUUAGGUGCAGUGCUGGUUGUUAGUUCAUUCUCCUAUUGAAGGAGAUUUAAUUGUUUUUUUUGUUUUGGUUUUUUUUUUUUUUUUUUUUUUUGAGACAGGGUCUUGCUCUGUCACCCAGGCUGGAUACAGUGACCUGAUCUUGGCUCACUGCAGCCUGGUCCUCCUCGGUUCAAACGAUUCUCCCUCCUCGGUUCAAAGGUGUGUACUACAGGUGUGUACCAUCAUGCCCGGGUGAUUUUUUAUAGACAUGGGGUUUCACCAUGUUGGCCAGGCUGGUCUUGAACUCCAUCUCAAGUGAUCUUCCCACCUCGGCCUCCCAAAGUCCUGAGGUUACAGGCAUAAGCCACCGCCUGUGGCCACUUUUUUGGUUACAUUGUAGCCUUUCUUUCUGUGUUUGGUGCAGAUUGUCGGGGCAGGCGGGGCAGGGGUUGCUGUUGCUGGUUGUUUAGCUCCUCUGCUCAUCGUGAGCUCUUCCAUAUACGUGUUCAUGGUGGGGUUAAAAAAUUUCCUCUAGAAAAUACUUCAACUACUGUGGGUAAGAGGUUUUCUAGUUCAGUUUUUAAAAAUACAUAAACUGAGAAGUUACUUUUAUCUAUUUAAAUAAUACUUCAAAGUGAGUUUUAUUCCGUGUUUAAUAAGACUUUGAAAUUCACUCAUUUUGAGGGGUUCUAAGUGAAAAUUGUUUUUCUCCUGUCAGUUGCAUGCUGCCAUUAGUUACCAGGUUGACCCAGAAUUCUGUGGUUUAGGUCUGGGCAGCGUCCUUCUGAACAGCCUGAAGCAAACGGUGGUGACCCUGGCCAGCAGCGCGGGCGUGCUGAGCACCCUGCCGUCGGCCGCCCAUGCGUGCUGCAGAGUGGCUGGUCCGUGCUGCUGCCCACCGCCGAGGAGCGGGCCCGGGCACUCUCUGCUCCCCUGCCCUGCGCAGGUGGGCUUGGGGAAGGAACAGGAAAGGGCAUGGGUCACGGUGCUGGGAGGGGAUGGCGUUUCACUCAAAUUGGCACACACUUUCUAUUUCAGUUUCAGGCAAUGACGUGAACAUAAGUCGAGGUUGUCAAUUCAUGAGUGAUCAUCUGGUGGGCAGCUUGGUGGCUGCUGGAUGGCUGGAGUCAGCCUUACACGGAGCCAUUACUGCAGAGAUCCAGGUAUGACCUUGGAGGCACACGUGACCUGGUGGUGCUCUGAGAUCGGAAAUACCACACUCACACGUGAAGAAUAACUGAAAACAGUAAAACUGAACUUGUCUCAUUCCAAGUAUUUUUUUAAACUCUUUUAUGUGCUAAUUUGAACAAUUAUUGAGAUAUGGUUUAAUUGUGCAAUCCUGGGUGUUGUCUGUUUCAGUGAAGUUAACAGGUAACCUGUCCAUCACGUAGACCAUUCCCGACACCGAGGAAGAUCCCUGUGCCCCUUGGCACUCGCAGCGGGGACGCUCCCCUGCCCUCAGAUGAGAUUCAUUUUCCUGCUCUGAGUGUUGCAGCAAUGUAACUGCAGAGGCUGCACUCUUUCCUGCGUUGCCUUGGAGAAGGAUUUUCGGAUUCACUCACACUGAUGUGUGUCUUGUGACUUGGUUUUUAUUAUUGGGAAGUUUUCCAUUUUAUAGGUGCAGUGCUGGUUGUUAGUUCAUUCUCCUAUUGAAGGAGAUUUAAUUGUUUUUUUUGUUUUUGUUUUUUUUUUUUUUUUUUUUGAGACAGGGUCUUGCUCUGUCACCCAGGCUAGAUACAGUGACCUGAUCUUGGCUCACUGCAGCCUGGUCCUCCUCGGUUCAAACGAUCCUCCCUCCUCGGUUCAAACGAUCCUCCCACCUUGGCCUCCUGUGUUGCAGGGACCACAGUCAGGUCACGAUGCCCGGCUAAUUUUUUGAUUUUUUUGUAGAGACAAGGUUUCACUAUGUUGCACAGGCUGGUCUCGAACUCCUGGGCUCAAGUGAUCCCCCAGCCUUGGCCUCCCAAAGUGUUGGGAUCACAAGCGUGAGCCACCACGCCCAGGCUUUCUGGUUUUUGGCCAUGUAGAGCUGCCACGAUGGUGCUGUGUACAAGUACUUCAGUGAACAUAUGUUCUCCCUUAGGGUAAACACCUGGAGUGGAAUUUGUUAGGUCCUGGGGUAAGUAGCUGUUCAUGGUUUCCGAGAGUGGCUUUGCCGUUUACACUUGAACCAGUGUGUGUGAGAAUUCUGGCGGCUUGUCCUCACAGAGCAGCUGGAUGCUGCGUGUAUGGGCGGAUCACAUGGGUGUUUGUGAGAGCCAGGAGCAGGGUUAAGGAUUUUAGGGACGUCAGAGAAGGAGGCUGGAGAGCAUCAGCAGAGGCAGCCUGGACCCUGGAUCUGUAACAAGAAGACACUGAAACUGCACAACUGAGUUGGGGUUUCCAACAGGGCAGGUGUGGGCCUUACAUGGGUAGGUGUGUGCGGUAGCACACAGAGGCUGGGAUAGCUUGGCCCUGGGGUCAGGGCUCAGCCAGCCUGUGUGCCUUCACACCUGCUAAUGAGAUCCCUUGUAAACAGUUUCCGUUUAUGAAUUCCAGGAUAUUGAAGCCAAAAAAGAAGCACAGAAGGAAAAAGAAGUUGAUGAACAGGAAGCGAAUGCCUCAGCAUUUCAUAGGAGCAAGAUGGCAUUGGAUAAAGACCUUGUUAAUAUGGGAAUCUGUGAGUCUUCUGGCAAACGGUGUUUACCUCUGGUUCAGCUCGUACAACAGCUUCUUAGGUAAAUCGUAUGAGCUGUGUUGUGUUGUAUUGUAUUGUAUUGUAUUUAUUUAAUUUUUUUUUUUUUUUUUUUUUUUUUUUUUUUUUUUUUUUUUUUGAGGGAAAAUUUCCCUCUUGUUACCCCGGCUGGAAUGGAGUGAUACAAUCUUGACUCACCGCAACCUCCACCUCCCGGGUUCAAGUGAUUCUCCUGCCUCAACCUCCUGGACAGCUGGGAUUACAGGGGUGGGCCACUGCACCCGGCUAAUUUUGUAAUUUUAAUGGAAAAGGAGUUUCUUCACGUUGGUCAGGGUGGUCUUGAACUCCCGACCUCAAGUGAUCCGCACGCCCUGGGCUCCCCAAGUGUUGGGAUUAUAGGCAUUAACCCCCACGCCCGGGCUAUUUAUUUACUUAUUAAAGUUUUUUUUUUGUUUUUUUUUUUUUUGAGAAAAAAUCCUGCUCUAUUGUCCAGGCUGGAGUGCAGUGUCACGAUCUUGGCUCACUGCAACCUCUGCCUCCUGGGUUCAAGCUGUUCUCCUGCCUCAGCCUCCCGAGUAGCUGGGACUACAGGCAUCUGCAACCACACCUGGCUGAUUUUUGUAUUUUUAGUAGAGACACGUUUUCAGCAUAUUGGUUCAGGCUCGCCUCCAACUCCUGACCUCAGGUGAUCCACCUGCGUUGGCCUCUCAAAAUGUUGGGAUUACAGGCGUUAGCCACUGUGCCUGGCCUGUAUUGUGUUUUAAUAGGUGAUUAUUGGUUUUCAUAUUAAGAUAGUGAAAUCCAGCACAAGGAUCUCAAAAAUCUGGUGAUGGAAGGAAUAUUCUGAAAAUUACCUAGUACAGAUGUUAGGAUAAAGAGCAGACCCUUUUCAACAUAGGUGAGAGGAGAAGUUGGAGGGUAUGAUGAUAUUCAAAAGUUUUUCACAGAAGAGAAAUUGAGGUGUGCAGUAAACAUGUAAAAAGAUUCUUAGUAAUAAACACGUGGAUGCAAAUAAAAAUCAUCAUGGAAGGUUAUUUUUAAAACUGGUUCUAUCAUUGCCUCACUUUAUAUACUACAGAGUUAUACAUACUACUUUGUAAGGUAACUUUACUCUUGGAAACUAAAGUCCAUGUGAAAUACUGGUGAGCAUUGUUCUGGAAGGCCGGACUAGGAGGAGGUGGGAAGAAGUCGGACUCCGCCUGUGGACAGAGGCUAACCUUGGCAGAAGCCAAAACAGUCAGGCAGUGUUGGGUAAACAUGAUCGUUCCAGAGGAGCGGAAGAGCAAGGUGAUUUGUGAAAGAGAUUUAUUAGACAAUGAAACACAUUUAUACCUCUAUUUCAUAAAAGUCUGCUGUUUGUAAGCUCGUGCUCCUGAUUUUUGUUUCUAUACAUAGAGAAAGCAGGGCCUUGGCAGGUUGGAUCAGGCAGCCGAGCACAGAGCAGGGAGCCCUGGGCAGUGGCCCCAGCUCUCAGCUGGCCUGUUCAUGGGGCCAUGGUAGGUCUGCAGUGUGGGGUGGGCCUGCA
rnacentral:lncRNA from 10 species